rnacentral:lncRNA from 1 species
UCAUUUCUGAUAAUGAUGUGCAUAUGUACUGGUGGAUGAAUUUUUGUUAUAGUGGGGUGUUUUUAGCCUCUUGUAGAUGAUUGACCCAAGGAUACUCAAUCUGCAGAAAAUAAGAUUACGCAACUCAAAUUUGAUGAAAAUGCAGAUAUGAAUUCGUCUCAUUAAACUUUCAUCAAGGAUAGAAGUUAAAUCUGACCGUGCUGUGUUUGGAUGGGGUAAUGUUCUUGUUCAUGACACGAACUAUUCUUCAGUUGCUGCAUCUAAUUGUCGCAGUGAGGCUGUCUUUGGAUGACAUGCUGUAUGAAAGCGAUGGCACUGGAGGCAGUUCCCCUUCAAAUCCAUCUGCUAAAUCAUGGAAGGGUAGGGUGUAGAUGUAUACUAAUUGUCAAGACUUGAAACAACGAGCAUACGGUUCUUG